GAACCAUAACCCCAGCCCCCACCCACUGUUUCUUUAUUGAAGAAAAUUCUUCAGAGGAUCACAUGCAAAACAAACAUGACACAACAAGCAAAAGCAGCAUAAAUGGAACCAUGAAGUGCAGGAGAGGUCUUUAUUUGGAUGAGCACGGAGAAGAAACUCUGCAGUAAGAUUGCCUGGGUUGGAAUCUUAGUCCCACCAUUUGCUUACUGUAUGAAUUUGGACACAUGAUUCAGCAUCUCCAUAUCUGAGUUUCUUCAUCUGUAACAUAGUUAUAAUAAUAAUCUCUACUACAUAGGUUGUUAGGAGAAUUAAGUAAGAACAUAUAUAAAAUGCUUACAAAAGUGUUUGAAUAGUAUACAUUAUCUUAGUGAUAGCAAUUAUUUUUACUAUGUUCCAACUUUCCAUUUUCACUUGUGAAAGUUGGUGUUG